CCAGCUCUCUUUGCCUUUUGGCUUAGAUCAAGUGUAGUAUCUGUUCUUUUCAGUUUUAAUCUCUGAAAUGUCUCCACGCGAGACUUUUUUCUUUACGAUUAAUUCUUAUUUUUGGUGUUUGGGGCGAGAGUCUUUUCCCAUGUGCUUGCAUAUGGGACUCUUGCUCAGUGUGUCCCUGGUAUUACACUGCUUCCGGGUGACGCGAAUGUUG
rnacentral:snRNA from 1 species